UCCCUUGGCGCACUCGUCACUGGUGCCGGCCACCUCUCUCUUUUCCUUCCGAUCUGAUAUUUUCCCCGUUCCCUCCGUCAUCCAUGUUCGGAUCGUAAGCUAAGAGCAUGCCCAGCGAGUUCGGCGAAACCCAUUCGUAGCCAAAUUUUACCGGGUGAACUCAAAAUACCCCCCCUACAGCAAGUUCAGACAAACAUAUCUCGCCAUUUCUUUUCUUAAUUCCAGUUUUGGUUGACACUGCGUUGCUGCUCUGCAAAACACCGGUGGGAACACGACAAAAAUACCAGUCCGCAAAAUCUCUCUCUUGUAGUGUGGGUUUGGUGAAUCUGAGGGGAAUCAGAUUAUCAACAAGUUUGCAGUGAGAUCACCGUCGAGUUCAAUGAUUGCUCUAAAUAACUGCUACUUUCAUGCCCUUAAAUACACCACCCCAUGUGAAUUGUGUAUUGACAUUCCAUGUAAAUGCUGUGGAAUAUCAUGUGAUUUGUUUUGUUUUGGCAAUUACAAUCAUGUGUUCUUUGAUGAUGUUACUCUGCUUUUAGCUUCGGGAUUCAAACUUUAUCCUACACAUAAUCUGCAAUAUGAUUUGCUAAAUAGGUUCAAUCUCUGCCAUCAUUGCUUUUAGAUUUGCUAUAUGAUUUGUUAUUCAAUUUUUGAAGCAUCAUAAUGGAUGCAAGCCCUAGAACUUCAGUCUAGGUAUUCACAUAUUUAAUAAGCCAACGAGAAUCCUCAAUUAGAAGCUUAGCAUUGGCAAUUCUUUUAGACCAAGACUUUGAAGAAUUUUUAA